AGCUGGUAUUCUAAUUAAACUACUUCUUG
rnacentral:tRNA from 1 species